rnacentral:miRNA from 1 species
GCACCUGCUGCUAUCAACUGA